GUGCCAGCCGCCGCGGUAAAACGUAGGGGGCCAGCGUUGCUCGGAAUUACUGGGCGUAAAGGGUCCGUAGGCGGUGUAGCAAGUCGGAAGUGAAAUCUCUGGGCUUAACCCAGAGGCUGCUCCCGAAACUGCUGUGCUAGAGUGCGAGAGAGGCGAGUGGAAUUGCGGGUGUAGCGGUGAAAUGCGUAGAUAUCAGGAGGAACACCAAUGGCGAAGGCAGCUCGCUGGGACGGUACUGACGCUGAGACGCGAAAGCGUGGGGAGCAAACAGGAUUAGAUACCCGUGUAGUCC
rnacentral:rRNA from 1 species